GAUGAACGCUGGCGGCGUGCCUAAUACAUGCAAGUCGAGCGAACAGACGAGGAGCUUGCUCCUCUGACGUUAGCGGCGGACGGGUGAGUAACACGUGGAUAACCUACCUAUAAGACUGGGAUAACUUCGGGAAACCGGAGCGAAUACCGGAUAAUAUAUUGAACCGCAGGGUUCAAUAGUGAAAGACGGUUUUGCUGUCACUUAUAGAUGGAUCCGCGCCGCAUUAGCUAGUUGGUAAGGUAACGGCUUACCAAGGCAACGAUGCGUAGCCGACCUGAGAGGGUGAUCGGCCACACUGGAACUGAGACCCGGUCCAGACUCCUACGGGAGGCAGCAGCAGGGAAUCUUCCGCAAUGGGCGAAAGCCUGACGGAGCAACGCCGCGUGAGUGAUGAAGGUCUUCGGAUCGUAAAACUCUGUUAUUAGGGAAGAACAAAUGUGUAAGUAACUAUGCACGUCUUGACGGUACCUAAUCAGAAAGCCACGGCUAACUACGUG
rnacentral:rRNA from 1 species